UUUGAUCAAUGUUUCUUGUUGUUGUGUUGUAUGUACAAGCUGUCAAGGAUGUGGCGAGUCAUUGGUGAUGUGCACCGGGUGAUGAAGCACACAUCAGAUGAGGUUGAAGGGAGGCAUGAGAGGCACGCCGGCCAACACGUGAGGUAAUUUCUAUUGUUGUACUCCCUUCGUUCCUAAAUAUAAGUCUUUGUAGAGAUUCCACUACUACAUACAGAACAACAUGAGUGAAUCUACACUCUAAAAUGCAUCUACAUACAUCCGUAGGUGGUUCAUAAUGAAAUCUCUAUAAAGACUUAUAUUUAGGAACGGAGGGAGUAUCUUAUGUUGCCAUGCAGCUAGAUGCUUCUGUCGACUGAUGAAAUUUUAGUUUCUUUCUCACGUGGUGCAUCAGUAUAAUAAGUAUAUCAAAAAUUGCAUGUAUGUGCUAUCUAGAUCCAAAAAGGAAAUUGAAGGGGCAUUCCCAUACCUGGCACCGCCCAGUACAUUCUCUGAAUAUGUUGCAUUUGUACUUCUCUAUGCUCUCUUGUAAAAUAUAAUUUGUACUAUGAAGUACAUAAAUUGACAUAUGCUCUCUUGUAAAAUACAGAUUGAACCUGAGCCAAUGACCUAUCCUCAGAGGCCUAGAGAAACUAUUUGUGAUGUAUGUUAUGAAGACCGGAUUUUGCAAGUUUAUCGAAAGAUGCAAGUUUCACCAUCCAGUUAAUUGGUCUGCACCUGAUUGCAUUGUAAAAUGGAAGGAGAGAGGUAACAUCACUAAAUAAUCCCUCUAAAUUUGUUGCCAAUUCAUGAUAUAAAUGGAAGGAGACUGGAUUUCUCAUUGGUUUUUCUAUAAUGUUUUCCCCAUUUUAUUUUUGCAAAUCGUUCCCACUUUCUUACUUAUACAUGAUGGCCCUAAUUUUCCUUUUCAGAUCAGACCCCGUUCCAAAUAUGAUCGAAAUGAAUCCAAUACUAAUUAUGAUUUGCAAACCGAAUAUUGAAGUAAUAACUAUAACUCUACACUCUACAGUAAGGUGUGUAAAAAAUGGUCUAAAUAAAUGAAGAGAACCCCUGUAGAAGCAACUUUUGAUAAACACUAAUCAAAUCAUUCUUGUGAUUUGUGAAAUCUGUAGAGUGUUUCUGCUGUUUCUUGUUGUAGGCAUAUUUUUUGUAUCGAGCUAUUUUGGUGUAUGUCCAAUCUUGUAUUUCCAGUUGAGGCAUACAAUCUAAAUUCAUAAUGUAUUGCAAUAUUGCUGGUGUUGGGAUAGUAUGUGGAUGUGAUUCAGUUGCUUAGUGUCAUUCUAGAUUAGCGAUUUAAUCUCCCAAAGAUGUUGAACAAUUUCAUGCAAAUGGUGCCCAUCGACGCUGCUACCCUCAGAAAAUUGCCAUGGUAUGGAUUACCGGCCACGGGGCGUGUUUCUUGCCUCUGCCGAAGAGCAGGAGGAUGCGAAGCAGGGCCAACCUAAGCUGCAUAACGGGGUGUCAUCGGGGGCGAAGGAGAGAUCCGACGAGAGCAGUGACAUGGUGGGGUUCGGCAAGGUCAAUAAGGUGACCCGCAGGGCUUGGCAAGACAGUGAGACAUGGUCGUGGGAGCGGAGCACAUCUUUGGAAGGAUGAACAGGCAUGGCGACGGCAAGCACCUUGUUGUCACCUCAAUUUCCUUACAUCAGGCCAGUUCAGGCUUCCGAAUUUGUGCUUUUGAUCAAUGGCAAACAUGUACCAGUAUGAUUCGCGGAAUUCAUUAGACACGGUUACCAGUUGUGGAUUCAUCGCAAUAUUUUUUUUAUCUUGUCAAUAUAUUUGAUGUUUGUUCGUGUAGCCUUUGGUUUUCAUAUAUUGAUUCAAUGUUGUACCUACGCUGACAAUUCAUACAG
rnacentral:lncRNA from 1 species